GGGAUAUCGGAAAGCUGACCAAGCUAAACCGGCUAUAUCUUGGCUUCAACAGCCUGAUAGGAAGAAUUCCAACAGAUAUUGCUAACUGUGCUCUGCUUACGGUCCUAUGGCUCUCUGAAAAUUACUUGACAGGUGAAAUACCAGAUGAGAUCGGCCAACUAGGUAACUUGCAGUUCUUGGUUUUGGAAGCAAACAACCUUACUGGCACCAU
rnacentral:misc_RNA from 1 species